GGACUACCCGGGUUUCUAAUCCCGUUCGCUACCCUAGCUUUCGUGCCUCAGCGUCAGAAGAGAUCCAGUAAGCCGCUUUCGCCACCGGUGUUCCUUAGGAUAUCAACGCAUUUCACCGCUCCACCCUAAGUUCCGCUUACCUCUAUCUCCCUCAAGCACGGUAGUUUAGGGCGCAGUUCCUCGGUUGAGCCGAGGGAUUUCACACCCUACUUUCCGCGCCGCCUACGCACCCUUUAAGCCCAGUAAUUCCGAAUAACGUUUGGACGGUUCGUCUUACCGCGGCUGCUGGCAC
rnacentral:rRNA from 3 species